AUGUUGGCUCUCUUUUCCUAACACUCAUUUUGUGCUUUUGUCAUUACUGCUGAAAGAGCAAAGGAGGAUACCAAUUAUCCUGCUGGAAGAGGAAGAGCACCAGUUACAUUGGUGUUAGUGCCACUAUAGCAAUGCCAAUCUUAGCUGCACCAUAGGAUUGGCCUGCCUGUACUGUAUUAGGAGUAGCUUGUCGUUAAAAGAAAGGGGUAGAAGAAGAUUGUGGACAACAGUUUUGGGGUUUCUUGCACUACACCAGGAAGAACUCCAUUAAACACAAAGCUUCUUGUUCUGUUGCAAUCUACAAGUCCAAUUACCAGAGCUAAUGGACCCCUGGACCUGCCUGUCUCCACGAGCUAUAGCAAAUUAGAGAUGGUUUGGAGAGAGUAAAAUCUUGUAGCCAACAUUAUUCAGCUUUAUGUAUUGAAGACUCUGCUCAUUUUUAAACAAGCUAUUAUAAUAAACUUGGUGGCGGGUUUUUUGUCCUUAGCCAUG